rnacentral:rRNA from 1 species
UGGUCUGCAACUCGACCACACGAAGCUGGAAUCGCUAGUAAUCGCGAAUCAGCAUGUCGCGGUGAAUACGUUCCCGGGUCUUGUACACACCGCCCGUCACACCAUGGGAGUCAGCAACGCCCGAAGUCAGUGACCUAACCGAGAGGAAGGAGCUGCCGAAGGCGGGGCAGGUAACUGGGGUGAAGUCGUAACAAGGUACC